AAUACGGAGGAUCCGAGCGUUAUCCGGAUUUAUUGGGUUUAAAGGGUGCGCAGGCGGCCAUUUAAGUCAGCGGUUAAAUCGUGGGGCUCAACCCCAUUCUGCCGUUGAUACUGGGUGGCUUGAUUGCGGUCGAGGUUGGCGGAAUUCGUUGUGUAGCGGUGAAAUGCAUAGAUAUGACGAAGAACACCGAUUGCGUAGGCAGCUGACCAGACCGCAAAUGACGCUCAUGCACGAAAGUGCGGGGAUCGAACAGGAUUAGAUACCCUGGUAGUCCGCACAGUAAACGAUGAAUACUUGUUUUCGGCGAUAUAAUGUCGGAGGCAAAGCGAAAGCGAUAAGUAUUCCACCUGGGGAGUACGCCGGCAACGGUGAAACUCAAAGGAAUUGACGGGG
rnacentral:rRNA from 1 species